ACAAUGGGGCAAUCAAGUACGUAAAAGAUAUAGGCACAUCCUCUCUGCCACGGACACAGCCCUAGCGAUUGCGACGGCCACGAGAAUCCCCUCAGCGCCGGCGUCCCCGGCGGCCGCGCUCGCCGUGUCGUCCUCGGGAUCACCCGCCGGGUCAGCUCCCUUGACCUAGCCUUCAAGUCCGAAGCCCAGACCUAGCCCGCAGCAGCAUCCCUUAUUCCACAUCUCACUGGAGGAAGAUCGGGAAGAGGAGGCAGGGGAGAUGGGAGUGGGAGGCCGGUCCCGUGGGACCCGGCGGGGGACGAGUAUUGGCGCAGGAGCCGACGCUCGCCUAGCGGCUGCUGGACACCAGUGAGCUGGAGCGGCUGCGGCGGGCGGCGCACGGGAUGGGGUGGUUGCGGGCGAAAAAGUGCGGAGUGACGGAUGAGGUGGAGGAGGACCUGCACAAGGUGUAUGCUGGCGGCCAGGGUCCCGCCGGCUGGGCCGUCGAGCCGCUUCGUCCGUGCAUGGACGGAGCAAGGGAGAUCACAUCUUGUUGCCGGAUCCUCCAUGUGAGUGUUUAAUUACUUGCAAUUUGACGCAACAGAUGCUUCAGAUUUAGUUUUCAGUUUUGUCAUCCAUCUAAUUGUGUAUAUAUGUGGCAGAGAAAUAUGAAAUUUUGAUGUAAAUGUUCAUUAAUCAUAACUGACAAUGCUCGAUGCAUGGGUGAGAGUGGAGGCCGGCUGAGGAAGACGACGCCAUCAAAGGGGAUGGAGUUCAUAUUGCAGCCUAUCAAAUGGUUUUAAGAUCCGGAAUAAGUGACUAGGCAAUUGUGUUGUUAAUUUGGUUUAACAGCUUCAAAGGGCACUGAGAAUGAAGUUUGCAUUCUACGAAACUCAUUGCUACCUUGCGACCAUAAUUUACCUUCCGAGCGCAAGAGGUGCAGUCAUCACCGUUCCUGCCGUCCUUCGGCUGGGCCGUCAAGAAACUCCUGCAGUUCUCUCUACAUGCACCGUCGAGGUCACCGAAGGUCUCACAAAUCAAUCAGGUGAACCUUUAAUUCGAUCUGGGGUAUUUUGUGGUUUGCAUGACUAAUACUGCACUUUUGGCACUUGGUGGUGGGUCAGAACUUUUUGAUCUGCAAUUUCAUCUACCAACCAAUCUUCCUCUGAUAGAUACUAGAAACAUUUUUUGGGACAGGAAGAAAUUGCUAUUCCGGAGUUUAAUUAAUCAUUUGAUAAUCCCUUUGGAAAAUACAUGUGAUCUGGAGCAUGAAAAUCAUUCUCAUAUAUAGAUAUAGGAGGAAAUGUGGCUGAUGCAAGAGUGUUUUUUAGACCUGUAUUUUUACAAGGAGGUUCAUACUUAUACAUACGAAGAUUAGAAUUUGACUAGAUGCAUAAGUUUGGCUGGUUGAGAAAUUUGAAUUCACUAUCCCUCAUAAAGUGUAUGUUUGGUGGGUGCACGUGCAUUAGAGAAUAAAUAAGAAUCAUGGGGCUUCCAGCGCUCUAGAAUUCUAGCAUUGGGAUUAUCUUAGGUUGCCGAUUACUGUACUGAAAAUGUGUAAUUAGAUAUGACGCGUACAUAAGAAUUGUGCAGCAAUCUUGUCUUACAAAGUGGGAUCAAGAGGGAUACUGAAGAAAUGAAGAUGCAGAGUCUCUGUUUCCUAUGAUUACUUCUCAUGUUCAUGUCGGCUUCCUUGGGCUUUACUUCCUACCACCAGAUGCAUUAAACUGGACCGUAUCAAGAGGUAAUGUCAUCCCCUUGAUUAGAGUUGCCUUAUUUGUGCUAUUUAGUCAGCGUGUGUUUUACAUAUUAUGUCACUUAGCCUGGAAUUAAGGUGGGUUGUGCCUACCUAGGCACUAGCUCCAGGGAUAUAGGAUUGAAUUCAGAAUAAAUGAUUCAUUCUUAGAGAAAACUUAUGUGGGGGACAAGAGGUAGUAUUAAACUAUUAAUAUGUUGAUUAAUAUCGGUAAUAUUCAGAAGUCACACAAAGCAUUCUUGGAGUAUGUGGGGGACAAAAUAUGCACUAUAAUGAUAGACUUUAGCGACUAAGAACAUCGAAAAGCUCAAGUGUCACUGUUACCUAAAUUGUGCACAGUGUAUUCAUACUGUUUCCAAAAAUUAUGUGUCAAUUUCAGAAUUUCUUAUGUUGAUUGUAAGAUGCACAUUUGUUGAUUUAUGGUACAAGUUUUCUUCUAAUGUACAAAUGACAACUGUGAGUUCGCUAUGUUAUCCUCCCUGCUUACUAUUUUGGUGAUCACAGGGGAUGCGGAACGCACUCCUUUAUAUACUUCUUUCCCCGGGAAGUGAAGGUUAUGUUUUUUAAUAUCAUGUGAGCUGCACUUUGUUUUUGUUAAAGAGAAUAUUAGAACUGGACUAUUUGUUUGGACAAAAACAAUGGGGGAGCUUCUUAUUGUACAGAUACAAACUAUUGUAGUAAAAAUACAAAAAAGCGGUCCACAAGAUCUAAGUAGUAACAUGGAGUGCUUUCAUGCAUCAGUUUGCCUUGUGCAGAGAAUAUGUGUAAAAUGUAAGAGUUGUUUUUGCCGAACUUUAGCCAUAGUAUGUUUGUCUAGACGUGCGUUGCACGUGCAUGUUUACUAUCACGUAAACUGAAGCACUAAAUGGCUAGAAAGUAUUGUACUAUAGCAGCCCAAUUGAAAUGCAAACGGUUUAACCAAUCGAAAUGCAAACGGUUUUCAGACUUCAAAACUGAAACUGAAACCGAAACUUGAAAACCCCAAAAUUUUGGCUCGGUUUGGUUUUUGGUUUACGGUUCGGUUUUGCACACCCGGAAGCGACCAGUGCUAUGCAUUCGACAAUAUCUUACACAUGAUACAGACAGGUGUGCACAUGGAACUCAAAGAAAACUACUGUUGUGCAUACGUGACAUGUCCAGUUUGAAGUGCCAAAUUUUAGGUUCAACAACUUUAGACAGAAAAGUAGCUACUUUGGGAUAGGGGCAAAUUGGCUCCCGAGCUCAUCUACACUGGCCAUGAACAGUAAAAUCAAAUAAAAUACUAGAAAAAAUAAAAAAAAUUCCUUUUUGCAAGAUAGACAUUUCAGUGUGUGAGGUCCAUGCCAAAUUUCAGCUCAUUUGGACAUCUGAGUAGCUCUCAGCAAAAUAGACAAAUUUGAUGUUUGUGAAACAGUGUACUGUUCAUGUACUAUUUUGGCAGUUUUCUUUUGCUAAGAGCUACUCAGAUGUUCAAACAAGCUGAAAUUUUGCACGGACCUCACGCACUGAAACAUCUUCCAUGCACUUUUUAUUUAUUUUUUGUAGUAUUUAUUUUAUUUUACUGUUCAUAUGGUGCUGAUGAGAUCGCGCUCAGAAAUGGAUAUUUGCUACUUUGGACGAAUAUUCUUUCUGAGCCUUGGCUCAACUGAACCUGAUAUCUCCACCGUCUAGUUGAGAAAAAGGGUUUCCCCCCGCUUUAUAUUAUAAAACAACGAACCAAGCAUCCAACACAGCAGUACAGAGUACAAACAAGUCAUAAAGUCAUGCUGGGGGCACAGCAAGACAAGCCCCAAACAAAGCUAAAAAAGCUAAUCCGGCUUAGGAGGCAGUGGAGGGGCAAAAGCCGACGCCGAAGAACGAAGACCCGCAAUGAUGUUGUCGAUGACGUCUCGGUCGCGCCGCUUGCUAAGCGGUCUCCAAAGCUGUAAGAAGCCACACAUUUUAUAGAUUGCAUCGGUCACACGACGAGGAAUCACACGCUCAAUGACUAGUUUAUUAUGGGUACACCAGAGGGUCCAUGCCAGGGUACCCAGAGCUACCCAAGUGGGAGGGCGACUAGCGUCGGGGAGUCUAAAGACCUCCCCAAACUAGUCCGGGAGGUUGUCGUGGCACCAAUCGCCGCCAACCACCUCCCGGAAGCAACUCCAGAGGAACUACACUACAGGGCACCGGAAGAAGAUAUGGUUACAGUCUUCCGGUACCAAACAAAUGGGGCAGAGGCCAUCCCCAGGGCCAUUGCAUUUUCGGACCUCCAUGCCCGAAGGGAGGCGGCCUCGGACCCAUUGCCAGAGAAAUAUGCGGAUUUUUAAGGGGAGUUUGAUCUCCCAAAGAACCGAUAGCUCCACCGGGCCAGGGGUAGGGACAAUCGCCUGUAAAGGGAUCUAGUCGAGAAUCGGCCACUUGGCUCGAGAUGCCAAGACAACGAGUCGGGCUCCAGGGAGGGGGAGUGAAGGGAAAUACACUCAAGCAAUUCAUCCCAUUGCUCGAGCUCCACUGCCCCGAAGCUAUGGUGGAAGGCAAUAGCGCCCAGGUCAGCUAAAGCGAUAGCUGAGGGCGGACACAGAUCGAGAAUAGCGCAUAAAAGCGUUCAGCGAAGGGACGGGUCCCGGCCCAUCUAUCCAGCCAAAAGAGGGUGUCGGAACCGGUGCUCACCUUAAUGGAGGUCCCAAUGCGCAAUACCGGCAUCAGACAGAUCACCGAUUGCUAGAAUUCGGACCCUCCAGAUCUAGGGGUGAAGGCUAGCGGUUGCCCGCAGAGGUACUUUGCCCGGAUAAUCUCAAGCUAGAGGCCGCCCUCAUCGGUCUGAAUCCGCCAAAGCCAUUUAGAGAGGAGGGCAAUAUUCAUCCGCUUGGACGAAAUGACCCCAAUGCCUCGUUGGUCUUUAGGCUUACAGAUCUCAGACCACUUCACCAUGUGGUACUUUUGUUUAUUGUUCUCUCCAGCCCAGAAGAAUCUGGAGAGGAGUUUGGUGACCUCGUGAUGUAGGGAUUCAUGUAGACUAUAGAAUCCCAUGACGUACAUCAGUAGGCUAAUAAGGGAGGAGUUCAUCAAAAUCACUCGCGUGGCUUUGGACAGCCAUCUCCCCUACCAAGGCUCCAUCCGAGGUUGGAGUUUGGCGAUUAUUGGGCGGAAGUCUUUCUCCAGUAGACGCGUGUCGCUAAUUGGCAUGCCUAGGUAAGUAGUCGGGAAGGACCCCAAGCGGAAAUUCAAGCGAUUAGCAAUUCGCUGAGCUUCCGCCUAAGAGUAUCCAAGGACCAUCACCUCACUUUUGGCGAAAUUAAUCGUGAGGCCCGACAUCUCCUGAAAGCAGAGGAGGAGGAACUUGAGGUUCUGGAUGUCCUUGUCCGAGCCUUCCACCAUCAUAAUGGUGUCAUCUGCAUACUGGAGGUGGGUUAGACCUUCAUUGGGGACAAGAUGGGGGCAAAUCCCCUUGAUGUGGCCGGCUCGUUUGGCCAAGUCUUCUCUACUAUUAAUAAACAAGCAAACAUAUUCUUUCCUAAACGCACCCAGAAACACGUACACAGAAAAAUUAAGACCAAAUACCACCCCACGAUCUAACCUAUCUAAUUAGAUCUAACCGUUGGCAUUAGAAUUAACCCUCACCUGUGUAUGUUUAGCAAUUUGCACGAGCGGACGGAACUCUGCCACAUCUAUCGCACCCCUAUCAUCCGCGUCCAGAAAAAAACAAUGGGGCAAUCAAGUACGUAAAAGAUAUAGGCACAUCCUCUCUGCCACGGACACAGCCCUAGCGAUUGCGACGGCCACGAGAAUCCCCUCAGCGCCGGUGUCCCCGGCGGCCGCGCUCGCCGUGUCGUCCUCGGGAUCACCCGCCGGGUCAGCUCCCUUGACCUAGCCUUCAAGUCCGAAGCCCAGACCGUACCUAGCCCGCAGCAGCAUCCCUUAUUCCACAUCCCACUGGAGGAAGAUCGGGAAGAGGAGGCAGGGGAGAUGGGAGUGGGAGGCCGGUCCCGUGGGACCCGGCGGGGGACGAGUAUUGGCGCACGAGCCGACGCCCGCCUUGCGGCUGCUGGACACCAGUGAGCUGGAGCGGCUGCGGCGGGCGGCGCACGGGAUGGGGUGGUUGCGGGCGAAAAAGUGCGGAGUGACGGAUGAGGUGGAGGAGGACCUGCACAAGGUGUAUGCUGGCGGCCAGGGUCCCGCCGGCUGGGUCGUCGAGCCGCUUCGUCCGUGCAUGGACGGAGCAAGGGAGAUCAUAUCUUGUUGCCGGAUCCUCCAUGUGAGUGUUUAAUUACUUGCAAUUUUAUGCAACAGAUGCUUCAGAUUUAGUUUUCAGUUUUGUCAUCCAUCUAAUUGUGUAUAUAUGUGGCAGAGAAAUAUGAAAUUUUGAUGUAAAUGUUCAUUAAUCAUAACUGACAAUGCUCGAUGCAUGGGUGAGAGUGGAGGCCGGCUGAGGAAGACGACGCCAUCAAAGGGGAUGGAGUUCAUAUUGCAGCCUAUCAAAUGGUUUUAAGAUCCGGAAUAAGUGACUAGGCAAUUGUGUUGUUAAUUUGGUUUAACAGCUUCAAAGGGCACUGAGAAUGAAGUUUGCAUUCUACGAAACUCAUUGCUACCUUGCGACCAUAAUUUACCUUCCGAGCGCAAGAGGUGCAGUCAUCACCGUUCCUGCC